GACGAACCGAGCGAACGUUGUUCGGAAUCACUGGGCUUAAAGGGCGCGUAGGCGGGUUCUCAAGUCCGGGGUGAAAUCCCACAGCUCAACUGUGGAACUGCCUCGGAUACUGGGUGCCUCGAGGGUGGUAGGGGUAUGCGGAACUAUCGGUGGAGCGGUGAAAUGCGUUGAUAUCGAUAGGAACUCCGGUGGCGAAGGCGGCAUACUGGACCACAUCUGACGCUGAGGAGCGAAAGCCAGGGGAGCAAACGGG
rnacentral:rRNA from 1 species